rnacentral:rRNA from 1 species
GAUGAACGCUGGCGGCGUGCCUAAUACAUGCAAGUCGAGCGAACAGAUGAGGAGCUUGCUCCUCUGACGUUAGCGGCGGACGGGUGAGUAACACGUGGAUAACCUACCUAUAAGACUGGGAUAACUUCGGGAAACCGGAGCUAAUACCGGAUAAUAUAUUGAACCGCAUUGUUCAAUAGUGAAAGACGGUUUUGCUGUCACUUAUAGAUGGAUCCGCGCCGCAUUAGCUAGUUGGUAAGGUAACGGCUUACCAAGGCAACGAUGCGUAGCCGACCUGAGAGGGUGAUCGGCCACACUGGAACUGAGACACGGUCCAGACUCCUACGGGAGGCAGCAGUAGGGAAUCUUCCGCAAUGGGCGAAAGCUUGACGGAGCAACGCCGCGUGAGUGAUGAAGGUCUUCGGAUCGUAAAACUCUGUUAUUAGGGAAGAACAAAUGUGUAAGUAACUAUGCACGUCUUGACGGUACCUAAUCAGAAAGCCACGGCUAACUACGUG